GGAAAAUUUAAAGCGUGUGGACCAGCCCCUCGCGAGGAGCUGGUAUACGAGGAAGGGGAAAAUCGAAUAGCCCGCCAGUCGGCGGAUAAAUCUGCGGAUACCCCUUGGUAGCGCUCUCUACCACAACAAUAGACAGAAAUGACUAUUGAGGAGCCCGU
rnacentral:ncRNA from 2 species